UACGUAGGGUGCGAGCGUUGUCCGGAAUUACUGGGCGUAAAGAGCUCGUAGGUGGUUUGUCGCGUUGUUCGUGAAAUCUCACGGCUUAACUGUGAGCGUGCGGGCGAUACGGGCAGACUUGAGUACUGCAGGGGAGACUGGAAUUCCUGGUGUAGCGGUGGAAUGCGCAGAUAUCAGGAGGAACACCGGUGGCGAAGGCGGGUCUCUGGGCAGUAACUGACGCUGAGGAGCGAAAGCGUAGGGAGCGAACAGG
rnacentral:rRNA from 1 species